rnacentral:lncRNA from 1 species
CCCUCAUCACCCAACCAUCAGUUUUCAAACUUGAAGAUAGAUUUUAAACUUCCCCAUCUCUGCACUGUAAAGAAAUGGGAGUACAAUCAGAAAAUACCCUUGGGAGUACUGGUUAGCUUUUGUUCUUGAAUUCCUCAGCUCAUUAGCCGAAAAAAGAAAUCUAUCCAAUCUUGAAGAGUUUUCCAGAUUAUUACCCUUUGUCCAAGGAUCCUCAUUAAGAUGAGAAUCUACAAGCUUCUAAUGAUCUAUAAAAUGAGAGAAGUCCAUCAUAAUCCUAGUGAGUAUAUUGUUCUUUCUUUUU